GAAACCGCGAAUGGCUCAUUAAAUCAGUUAUGGUUCCUUAGAUCGUACUAUUUACUUGGAUAACUGUGGUAAUUCUAGAGCUAAUACAUGCAACAAAGCUCCAACUUACGAAGGAGCGCUUUUAUUAGAUCAAAAAUCAACCGACUUCGGUCGUGUCUUUUGGUGACUCUGGAUAAUAUUUGCUGAUCGCAUAGCCUUGCGCUAGCGACGUAUCUUUCAAAUGUCUGCCCUAUCAACUUUCGAUGGUAGGUGAUAUGCCUACCAUGGUUGCAACGGGUAACGGGGAAUCAGGGUUCGAUUCCGGAGAGGGAGCCUGAGAAAUGGCUACCAUUUCUAAGGAAGGCAGCAGGCGCGAAAAUUACCCAUUCCCAGCACGGGGAGGUAGUGACGAAAAAUAACAACUCCGGGCAUUUUAUGUUUCGGUGAUUGGAAUGAGUACAUUCUAAUUCCUUUAACAAGGAUCUAUUGGAGGGCAAGUCUGGUGCCAGCAGCCGCGGUAAUUCCAGCUCCAAUAGCGUAUAUUAACGUUGUUGCAGUUAAAAAGCUCGUAGUUGGAUCUCGGGCCUGACGCUAUGGUAUGCUUUUUAAGUUUUGCCUUAGCUCAGCCUUUACGCCGGUCUUGACUUUGUUGUCCUUUAUUGGGUGGCAUAGUUAUCCGGACCUUUUACUUUGAACAAAUUAGAGUGCUCAAAGCAGGCUUUUGCCUGAAUAUUUCUGCAUGGAAUAAUAGAAUAGGACCUCGUGUCCGUUUGUUGGUUUUCGGACCCGAAGUAAUGAUUAAGAGGGACAAACGGGGGCAUUUGUA
rnacentral:rRNA from 1 species